rnacentral:rRNA from 1 species
UGGGGAAUAUUGCGCAAUGGGCGAAAGCCUGACGCAGCGACGCCGCGUGAGGGAUGAAGGUUUUCGGAUCGUAAACCUCUGUCAGAAGGGAAGAAACCGCACUGUGCUAAUCAGCAGUGCCUUGACGGUACCUUCAAAGGAAGCACCGGCUAACUCCGUGCCAGCAGCCGCGGUAAUACGGAGGGUGCAAGCGUUAAUCGGAAUUACUGGGCGUAAAGCGCACGUAGGCUGCUUUGUAAGUCAGGGGUGAAAUCCCACGGCUCAACCGUGGAACUGCCUUUGAUACUGCUUAGCUUGAAGCCGGGAGAGGGUGGCGGAAUUCCAGGUGUAUGAGUGAAAUCCGUAGAUAUCUGGAGGAACAUCAGUGGCGAAGGCGGCCACCUGGACCGGUAUUGACGCUGAGGUGCGAAAGCGUGGGGAGCAAACAGG